CUGGAGGUGGUCGGAAUGGACUGGCUGGAGUGCGGCGGGCUGACAGGUCUGAGGCCUGAGGGAGUUCGGGGAACCGCAAAGCACGGUGUGCCUCCGUUGUCCUGAAGAAAAAGCCGCGCGUGGACGACUGGCCGGCCCGCGCUUGCAGCUCCCAGAAGUUGACAGGCAUCCUCCGGUGACCGGUGUGAGUAUGGUGUCAGGAUGAUUUGACUGCAAGCAACAGAAAAAUCAAACAAAAAUGGCCUAAGCCAAGAAGAGAAAUGAUUAUUUCACAUUCUAAGAAGUUUGGGAGUCGAGUGGUUAAACGGCUAAUUAAUCUAGAGCUCAACAAUAUCACCCAGGACCCAUUUUCACUAUGGUGGCUAAAGCCCUGCACCCUUCAGGCUUGCACCAUGGCAGCAGCAGUGACAGUAAAGACACCCUUACACCACAAUGCUCCAUGACCAGGGAGAGGGUCUCCUCUCUCUUGCCCCUUUCUAGAGGCUCCACCGAAGAUUUCUCUUCACAUUCCGUUUCUCAUUCCUAAAGCAGUCGCUGGCAACAGGGAUGUGCUUACCACAAUGGGUACAGAGCAAUUAAGAUUCACCACUAGGUGAGUCCUUUGGAAAACACUUGGUCACCCAAUAUAUAAACAAAUCUUGUACUCUUGUCAAGAAAGAGGCAGCACUUUAUGGCUUCUCUUGGGCAUAUCCAAAUUGCUGUCAUCACUACUUGUAUUAGUCGAUUUUCACGCUGCUGAUAAAGACAUACCUGAGACUGAGAAAUUUACCAAAGAAAGAGGUGUAUUGGACUUACAGUUCCACAUGGCUGAGGAGGCCUCACGAUCAUGGUGGAAGGCAAGAAGGAGCAAGUCACAUCUUACAUGGAUGGCAGCUGGCAAAGAGAGAGCUUGUACAGGGAGACUCCCGUUUUGAAAGCCAUCAGAUCUUGUGAGACUCAUUCACUAUCACAAGAACAGUGCAGGAAAGACGCACCCCUGUACUUCAAUCACCUCCCACCAGGUUCCUCCCACAACAUGUGGGAAUUGUGAGAGUUACAAUUCAAGAUGAGAUUUGGUUGGGGACACAGCCAAACCAUAUCACUAUUCUUGUGCUUUGGGGCCAUUGUUAAGUAAAACAAGCAUUAUUUGAACACAAGUACUGCAAUACCACCACAGUAGAUCUGAUAACUGAUGGCUACUAAGUGACUAAGGGGCAGGUGGAGUAUACAGCGUGGAUGCGCUGGACAAAGGGGAGGAUCUACCUCCCAGCUGGGUUGGAGCAGGACGGUGCAAGAUUUCAUCACACUACUCAGAAAGGCAUGCAGUUUAAAGCUUGUAAAUUAUUUCAGGAAUUUUCCAUUUAAUAUUUUCAGGCUGUGGCUGACCGUGGGUAACAAACCCAGGAAAGUGAAACUGUGGAACCAUGGAUGGGAGAAAGGGUGAAUUACUGUAUAUUCAUGGAGGAUAUUAGUCCAUAGUUUCUUUUUUCCUUUUUAACAAAUUUUUGGGUUUUGUAUAUAGUUUGUCUGGUUUUGGUAUCAGGGUAAUACUAGCUUCAUAAAAUGAAUUGGAAAGUGUUUCUUCUGUUUUCUUAAAAAGAUUAUAUGGAAUCAGCGUUUGUUCUUUAAACACUUGGUAGACAUCUUAAGUAAAACCAUCUGGGCUUGGAGAUUUUUUUGUGUGUGUUGUAAGAUUACAUAUUCAGUUUCCUUAAUAUUUAUAGGAUCAUUUUAAUUAUGUGUUUUUCAGUGAAACGGGUCCAUUUUCUAUAUGUUGUCCAAUUAAUAUUUGUAGAAUUGUGUUAGUAUUCUUCAUUAUCCUUUUGAUGUCUGCAGAAUCUGUAACGGUAUCCCUGUUUUAUUUCUGAUAUUAAUUUGUGCCGUUAUGUCUUUUUUUUCUUUGUUGGUCUUGUCAGAAGUUUGUCAAUUUUAUCAAUUUGUUCCAAGAACCAGCUCAUUG